rnacentral:rRNA from 1 species
AUUGAACGCUGGCGGCAGGCCUAACACAUGCAAGUCGAACGCGUGGCGGACGUGUGAGUAAUGUCUGGGAAACUGCCUGAUGGAGGGGGUUAACUACUGGAAACGGUAGCUAAUACCGCUUACCCUCCGAUGUGCCCAGGUGGGAUUAGCUAGUUGGUGGGGUCACGGCUCACCAAGGAGACGAUCCCUAGCUGGUCUGAGAGGAUGACCAGCCACACUGGAACUGAGACACGGGCCAGACUCCUACGGGAGGCAGCAGUGGGGAAUAUUGCACAAUGGGCGAAAGCCUGAUGCAGCCAUGCCGCGUGUAUGAAGAAGGCCUUCGGAUUGUAAAGUACUUUCAGCGGGGAGGCGUUACCCGCAGAAGAAGCACCGGCUAACUCCGUGCCAGCAGCCGCGGUAAUAC